CCUACGGGAGGCAGCAGUGGGGAAUAUUGGACAAUGGGCGAAAGCCUGAUCCAGCCAUGCCGCGUGUGUGAAGAAGGCCUUCGGGUUGUAAAGCACUUUCAGUGGGGAAGAAAGCCUUGGGGCUAAUACCCUCGAGGAAGGACAUCACCCACAGAAGAAGCACCGGCUAACUCCGUGCCAGCAGCCGCGGUAAUACGGAGGGUGCGAGCGUUAAUCGGAAUUACUGGGCGUAAAGCGCGCGUAGGCGGUCUGAUAAGCCGGUUGUGAAAGCCCCGGGCUCAACCUGGGAACGGCAUCCGGAAAUGGCCGGCUAGAGGGCAGGAGAGGAAGGUAGAAUUCCCGGUGGAGCGGUGAAAUGCGUAGAGAUCGGGAGGAAUACCAGUGGCGAAGGCGGCCUUCUGGACUGACACUGACGCUGAGGUGCGAAAGCGUUGGUAGCAAACAGGAUUAGAUACCCUGGUAGUC
rnacentral:rRNA from 1 species